rnacentral:rRNA from 1 species
CUUCUUGGAUGAGUUGCGAACGGGUGAGUAACGCGUAGGUAACCUGCCUGGUAGAGGGGGAUAACUAUUGGAAACGAUAGCUAAUACCGCAUAAAAUGGAUUAUCGCAUGAUAAUUCAUUGAAAGGUGCAAAUGCAUCACUACCAGAUGGACCUGCGUUGUGUUAGCUAGUUGGUGGGGUAACGGCUCACCAAGGCAACGAUACAUAGCCGACCUGAGAGGGUGAUCGGCCACACUGGGACUGAGACACGGCCCAGACUCCUACGGGAGGCAGCAGUAGGGAAUCUUCGGCAAUGGACGGAAGUCUGACCGAGCAACGCCGCGUGAGUGAAGAAGGUUUUCGGAUCGUAAAGCUCUGUUGUAAGAGAAGAACGAGUGUGAGAGUGGAAAGUUCACACUGUGACGGUAUCUUACCAGAAAGGGACGGCUAACUACGUGCCAGCAGCCGCGGUAAUACGUAGGUCCCGAGCGUUGUCCGGAUUUAUUGGGCGUAAAGCGAGCGCAGGCGGUUAGAUAAGUCUGAAGUUAAAGGCUGUGGCUUAACCAUAGUACGCUUUGGAAACUGUUUAACUUGAGUGCAAGAGGGGAGAGUGGAAUUCCAUGUGUAGCGGUGAAAUGCGUANAUAUAUGGAGGAACACCGGUGGCGAAAGCGGGCUCUCUGGC